rnacentral:rRNA from 1 species
UCAAGCGACUAAGUGUAUGUGGUGGAUGCCUUGGCGAUUACAGGCGAUGAAGGACGUCGCAGCCUGCGAAAAGCCGUGGGGAGCUGGCAAGCGAGCACUGAUCCACGGAUGUCCGAAUGAGGGAACUCACCCGCAAGGGUAUCUUGAAGUGAAUACAUAGCUUCAAGAGGCGAACGCAGCGAACUGAAACAUCUAAGUAGCUGCAGGAAAAGAAAUCAACCGAGAUUCUGAAAGUAGCGGCGAGCGAAAUUGGAAGAGCCUGCAAGUGAUAUUGAAUUCGAUACUGGAACGGUCUGGAAAGUCCGGCUACAGAGGGUGACAGCCCCGUACGGGAAAUUGGGUUCAAGGUACUGAGCUUGCGAGAAGUAGAGCGGGACACGUGAAAUCCUGCUCGAAGAUGGGGGGACCAUCCUCCAAGGCUAAAUACUCGUAAUCGACCGAUAGCGAACCAGUACUGUGAAGGAAAGGCGAAAAGAACCCCGGGAGGGGAGUGAAAUAGAUCCUGAAACCGCAUACAUACAAACAGUAGGAGCCCGCAAGGGUGACUGCGUACCUUUUGCAUAAUGGGUCAGCGACUUACGUUCAAUGGCAAGCUUAACCGAGUAGGGGAGGCGCAGCGAAAGCGAGUCCGAACAGGGCGAUAUGAGUCGUUGGGCGUAGACCCGAAACCAGAUGAUCUAUCCAUGGCCAGGCUGAAGGUGUGGUAACACACACUGGAGGGCCGAACCGACUAGUGUUGCAAAAUUAGCGGAUGAGCUGUGGAUAGGGGUGAAAGGCUAAACAAAUCUGGAGAUAGCUGGUUCUCCCCGAAAACUAUUGAGGUAGUGCCUCGUGUAUGGCUCCAGGGGGUAGAGCACUGUUAUGGCUAGGGGGACAUGGCGUCUUACCAAACCAUGGCAAACUCCGAAUACUUGGAAGUCUGAGCACGGGAGACAGAGCACCGGGUGCUAACGUCCGGACUCAAAAGGGAAACAACCCAGACCGCCGGCUAAGGUCCCUAAUAUUGACUAAGUGGAAAACGAAGUGGGAAGGCUAAGACAGUCAGGAAGUUGGCUUAGAAGCAGCCAUCCUUCAAAGAAAGCGUAAUAGCUCACUGAUCGAGUCUUCCUGCGCGGAAGAUGUAACGGGGCUAAGUCAAUAACCGAAGCCGCGGAUUCGCAGCAAUGCGAGUGGUAGGGGAGCGUUCUGUAAGCCUGCGAAGGCGGAUCUGCGAGGACCGCUGGAGGUAUCAGAAGUGCGAAUGCUGACAUGAGUAACGUUAAAGCGGGUGAAAAGCCCGCUCGCCGCAAGCCCAAGGUUUCCUGCUCUACGUUCAUCGGAGCAGGGUGAGUCGGCCCCUAAGGUCAGGCUGAGAAGCGUAGCUGAUGGGAAGCUGGUUAAUAUUCCAGCACCGAUUUCAAGUGCGAAGGGGGGACGGAGUCCUGAAGGUCAUCCGGGUGUUGGAUAUCCCGGUUUACGAGCGUAGGAGGUUGACAGGCAAAUCCGUCAACGGAUCUCCAAGGCGAAGGAUCGAGGUUGAGAGAUCAACUGAAGUGACUGAAUGGGCUUCCAGGAAAAGCCUCUAAGCAUCAGCUUGGAAUUGACCGUACCGCAAACCGACACUGGUGGGCGAGCUGAAUAUGCUCAGGCGCUUGAGAGAACUCAGGAGAAGGAACUCGGCAAAUUGACACCGUAACUUCGGGAUAAGGUGUGCCUUUGUAGUGUGAAGGGAGAAACACCCCGAGCAUGAAGAGGCCUCAGAGAAUCGGUGGCUGCAACUGUUUACUAAAAACACAGCACUCUGCAAAGAUGAAAGUCGACGUAUAGGGUGUGAUGCCUGCCCGGUGCUGGAAGAUUAAUUGAUGGGGUGCAAGCUCCUGAUCGAAGUCCCAGUAAACGGCGGCCGUAACUAUAACGGUCCUAAGGUAGCGAAAUUCCUUGUC